rnacentral:piRNA from 1 species
UACACUUCCGCUUCUUCGCUAGUUGGCUGC